rnacentral:rRNA from 1 species
GUUCAUGCUUUUAUAGUAUGAAAAUUGGUGAUUUAUAAUAACUUAGCAAAUCGCAAAGUGAAAACAGGCGAUAAAUCAUUCAAGUUUCUGACCUAUCAGCUUUCGACGGUAUGGUAUUGGCUUACCGUGGCAGUGACGGUUAACGGGGGAUUAGGGUUCGAUUCCGGAGAGGGAGCCUGAGAAACGGCUACCACAUCUAAGGAAGGCAGCAGGCGCGCAAAUUACCCAAUUCUAACAGUUUGAGAGAGGUAGUAACAAGAAAUAACAAUACAAGGCAGUUAAAAUGCUUUGUAAUUGGAAUGAUAGAAAUUUAAACCCUUUUUAAAGUAUCAAUUGGAGGGCAAGUCUGGUGCCAGCAGCCGCGGUAAUUCCAGCUCCAAUAGCGUAUAUUAAAAUUGUUGCAGUUAAAAAGCUCGUAGUUGAAGUUCUGCUGAAAGUAACCGGUCUGCUUUUAAUAAAAGUGGUAUCUUGGUAUGUAUUUAGCAAUGAUGUCCUUUGAAGUGUUUUUUACUUUAUUGUAAUAAAGCAUAUUCAGGACUUUUACUUUGAGAAAAUUAGAGUGUUUCUAGCAGGCUAACGCUUUGAAUACUGCAGC